GGCGACGUGGCCGAGUGGUUAGGCAGCGGCCUGCAAAGCCGUGUACCCGAGUUCGAUUCUCGGCGUCGCCU
rnacentral:tRNA from 1 species